UAAUCAAACUGUCGUUGAUCCACAUA
rnacentral:piRNA from 1 species